CCUACGGGUGGCUGCAGUGGGGAAUAUUGGACAAUGGGCGAAAGCCUUAUCCAGCCAUGCCGCGUGUGUGAAGAAGGCCUUCGGGUUGUAAAGCACUUUCAGUGGGGAAGAAAGCCUUGGGGCUAAUACCCUCGAGGAAGGACAUCACCCACAGAAGAAGCACCGGCUAACUCCAUGCCAGCAGCCGCGGUAAUACGGAGGGUGCGAGCGUUAAUCGGAAUUACUGGGCGUAAAGCGCGCGUAGGCGGUCUGAUAAGCCGGUUGUGAAAGCCCCGGGCUCAACCUGGGAACGGCAUCCGGAACUGUCAGGCUAGAGUGCAGGAGAGGAAGGUAGAAUUCCCGGUGUAGCGGUGAAAUGCGUAGAGAUCGGGAGGAAUACCAGUGGCGAAGGCGGCCUUCUGGACUGACACUGACGCUGAGGUGCGAAAGCGUGGGUAGCAAACAGGAUUAGAUACCCUUGUAGUC
rnacentral:rRNA from 1 species